AUGCUAUGAUCAGAGAUAUAGGAGCUAACUGUGACUAUGAACUAUGAAAAUGAAACCCCGAAACUAAAGAUGACAGAAUAGAAAGGGUUCUUAUGUCCUGGAGUCCAAGAAUGAAUCUCACUGACACAGAAGGGUGAAGUGAGAGUUUAUUAAGUGAAGGACACCAUUGGAAGCAUUGGUUGUUCUACCAAGGCUUUGACUGGAAUAUUAUAUUUGAGAGACAUGCACA